UACGUAGGGUGCAAGCGUUGUCCGGAAUUAUUGGGCGUAAAGAGCUCGUAGGCGGUCUGUUGCGUCGGCUGUGAAAACCCGGGGCUCAACUCCGGGCCUGCAGCCGAUACGGGCAGACUAGAGUUCGGCAGGGGAGACUGGAAUUCCUGGUGUAGCGGUGAAAUGCGCAGAUAUCAGGAGGAACACCGAUGGCGAAGGCAGGUCUCUGGGCCAUUACUGACACUGAGAAGCGAAAGCAUGGGGAGCGAACAGG
rnacentral:rRNA from 1 species